UGUAUACAACAAAACAAAGCAAAUUCACACACCAAAAACACAAGACAUAACAUUACGUACUCAUAAUGAAUUAAUUUCUUAUUUUAUUAAAACACAGUUUCAAUUUCACUGCAAUUGAUUAUUGUUGCAAAAGCACUCAUAAAAGAUAAACGAAAUAACUGAUUAUCAAAAUCAUUUGCAUCCCCCCGGGGGACAGUAGUAGAUAUAGUCUGCAAGAGCUUUCUUUAACUUCUCGAUCAAACACUCUUCCCUUGUAAGCCCUGAGCAAUCAACAAUUUCAGGUGAUGCUGCGGGAUUAUUAGAAAAUAAAGCAUUUGGGUGAUAUCCUUGGCUAAAACGACUGGCUGUAAUAAGUGUGCUUUCAGUGUUUGCCACUACAAGUAAAGCCAAGAUGAUGAAACUAAGACUCUUCGACAUUUUCUAUUUAUUAAGUGAAUUGUAUGCAACUUAAUAAGAAUUAAAGAAGAUGUGUGAAAUUCAGAAAGUCAUGAGCCUCUAUUUAUAUGAAUGAAUAUUGAGAAUCUCGCUACAAUGACUUUAAUGGAAUUGAAAGAUUCCAUAAAUAAGAAAAAUAAAACAUGCUGCGUUUGUUUGCAUUAACUGUUGAUUUUAAUAUCGUGUCGCAUUAUGAAGGCAAUUUCAGUAUACAUUUAAUUAAUGUUAUCGUUUUUAGUGUGAUUAUUUUGUUUAGUUUAUUAUUAGAUUUUUUUUCUCUUUAUAUCAAUUGUGAAGCUAUUUUCUAAUAUAAAGACCCUCUCAAAGUCUACAUUGCCCUUCAUUUGGUUUCAUUGGGUGAUUCGUGCAUAAGAUUAUCUUAUUAAAUUGCAAGGAAAUUAUUAAAGAAAACAAAAAUCAAUUAUUUACACUUGGUCAAGUUGGCUUGUAUGAACGAGGAGGUUGAGAUAAUGAUAGAUCAGCCCUCAUGAUCCAUUAGUAAGAUUAAUUCAACAACUCUAAAUAGAUCAACAAUGUUCCUUACCGUUUAUAGGAUUUGAUUUUAUCAUUCCAUUAGAUUGAUUCAAUUUUUUUCCCUAUUGUAUCAAAUGACUAAUAGAGUCGACUAAAAAACAAAAAAGGCUUGCACAUAUUGGGCAAUCAAAAGUCUAUACAUAUAGCUAAAAAAAUUGAAAACUUGUUGUUGUGCAAAUUUUAAUGAACUGGCAAGCGCACGAAUCUAUUGUAGUAUAGAUCAAUGGUGACGAGUGUCGAUCCCACGAGGAGGUGGAUUUUAAUUGUAUGUAGAAUUAAUUUUGUAAAUGGGUGGUUAGAAUUGUGGUGGAAGUGAUUUAAAAUAUGCUAAAAUUGGAAUUGAAAUGACGAUAAUAAAUAUGCUAAAAUUGGAAUUGCAAUGGCGAGAAUAAAUUGUAGAGAAAAUCGAUUAAAUUGACGUACUUGGGUAUCUGGAUCCGUAUCAACAUGCAUCAUGGGCUAAAUAAUCCAUAUUAAUGCCAAUUAAAUCAUGAGGGGAGAAUCCACACCUCAUGAACCACGCUCUAAUCAAUAUGGUGCUAAGGGCUUAUCGUGCCAAAUAAUAAUAACCUUAUACUAGAGAGCCGGUGUAACCAAGGCGGUAUCUAGACAAGAUCAGUAUUAUUUGUCGACGAUAAGUCAAAUCAUCCACAAAAACUAGAGGGGAAAAGAAAAUAAAUUUACCAAAUUAAGCCCAUGACACAUGUUGAGACUUCACCUUCAACCCAAGCUUGAAAGAAAAUUAGCCACUCAUAAUUGAACUAGGGGCAAAAAGGGAAUUUAUUAAAAUACAAAGAAAAUACAAGAUGGAGAAGGAAUUACAGAAAAUGGAUCCCAAAAAUGGAUUCAAAGAUAUCAAAUUUGGGGGGGGAGGCCCCCUUUUUAUAUAUACAUGGAGUAAAUCAUGGCCAUCGGAUUAAAAACAGUUUGGACACUCAGGAUUGCGCCACGUCAUCAGUCAACAGUCCACGGUUUGACCACGUGGAUGAACAGUAACACGGUUUGACCCGGAUGAACAGUAAUGUGGUUUGGUUGAAAAUAAUCCUGUGUGAUGCAUGCACCGUACGUGAGAUUUUUCGUCCACUGAUAUGCUGCCACGUCACCAUCAACAGUACAUAAGAAUUUUAGUCCAACAGGAUCGUGACACCUCAUCAGUCAAUGCCACAUCAUCGGUCAAUGCCACAUCAUCGAUCCGUCUAUGUGAAUAGUGUCAUGAACAGUAACGUAGACAGUACCGUAUACGUGAAUAGUACCGUACAUGUGAAUAGUGCUAUUUUUCCUUUUAUGCUCCUCCUAAGGUUUUCGACCGUCCUGAGACUUCACCUUCAACCCAAGCUUGAAAGAAAAUUAGCCACUCAUAAUUGAACUAGGGGCAAAAAGGGAAUUUAUUAAAAUACAAAGAAAAUACAAGAUGGAGAAGGAAUUACAGAAAAUGGAUCCCAAAAAUGGAUUUAAAGAUAUCAAAUUUGGGGGGGGAGGCCCCUUUUUUAUAUAUACAUGGAGUAAAUCAUGGCCAUCGGAUUAAAAACAGUUUGGACACUCAGGAUUGCGCCACGUCAUCAGUCAACAGUCCACGGUUUGACCACGCGGAUGAACAGUAACACGGUUUGACCCGGAUGAACAGUAAUGUGGUUUGGUUGAAAAUAAUCCUGUGUGAUGCAUGCACCGUACGUGAGAUUUUUCGUCCACUGAUAUGCUGCCAUGUCACCAUCAACAGUACAUAAGAAUUUUAGUCCAACAGGAUCGUGACACCUCAUCAGUCAAUGCCACAUCAUCGGUUAAUGCCACAUCAUCGAUCUGUCUAUGUGAAUAGUGUCAUGAACAGUAACGUAGACAGUACCGUAUACGUGAAUAGUAUCGUACAUGUGAAUAGUGCUAUUUUUCCUUUUAUGCUCCUCCUAAGGUUUUCGACCGUCCUGAGUUCAAAAGUGAUGUCCGUUUUGCCAUCUGAUCUCUCAUUUAUUGUGAAAUGACUAUAAUGCCCCUAAAAUACAUAAAAUACUUAAUUAAAAUAAAACACAUGUAAUUAAAUCACAAGAAGGUUAAAUACAUAAAAGUAAGGGUUGUUAAUAAGACUUGAAAUGUAAAAUGACAGUUUUCUCCUUUAUAAAUAUGCAUUUUCUAACACUCAACACACCCCCCAACCAGCUUAUUGCUAGUCCCUAGCAAAUAAAGCGAAAACAAAAUUCAAAUUCAAAAUGAUUUUUUUUUUUUUUUAGAAACACUCGUGUUUAUUCAAUCAGAUUAAUGAUAGCAAUCAAAUAAAAGUAUAAGCAUUAUCUCCAGUCUAAAGCAACAUCACACCCACAUCAACCAUCCACAUGAAUCGGCCCAGUAGACUUUGUUAUAGCUACUUUCAAGAAUGACAUGUCAAACCCCAAAAUCUCACUGGAAGUAGUGACACUCUCACAAAGAAAUUAAACCCAAAAAAUAGUCACUCCAAUGAAUGGUAAUUGAGAGAAAAUAAUGAAAAAGUGAUAUCACAUGCUCUCACCAAGAUGAAAUAAAUAUGCCCUCAGCUUAGAAAUAAUACAAUCUCAAGUCAAAUAAAAAAAAUGUUAGUCAACCCAAUUUAUUUAUUUAUUUAUUUUUUUAUAUGCACCACUACAUCUGUUUAGCCCAUAUAACUAGCUUCUACUUCAAACUAUAGUUCCCUAAAAUCAAGAAGGAUUUUUAUUAAGACGUAACGUAGGUUAGGGACAUGGCUAACAAAUAAGGGAAAUAAGGAAAACAAAAUGUAUGUCUGAGACAAAUGCAGAAAAUUUUUUUUUUUUUUUUUUAGGAAGUUGCAAGGUGGAUUUCACCUAUGAUUGUUAUUUUUAUUCUUUUGAAACAAUAACUUUUGUUUUGUUUUUUUUCUGUUUGUUUUUUUUUUUUUUUUGCUUUUAUUUGGCAUAACUUCACUGAACAACAUAAUUAUUUACAUUUUCUCAAACAUAAAUAGGUGAUAGAACUUAUAAGACAUCGGGUAAUACUCCAAAUCGGAGUGGGCAAGAGGAUAAGUUGACAAAGAAAAGGUUUUUUUUUUUUUUUUAAAAAAAAAAAAGGCUCAAAAGGGGUAACUAUGGAUAUUUAAUAAAAGGGAUGGCUAGAAAGGCUCAAACGGAUCAAAGAUGGCCUUUCCAUCAUCUUUUAGGGCUCUAAAUAAUUAUCCAUAUCUACUGGUUAGAUGGGCCUCCUAAUGUAGCAACACACAUUUUUUUCUUUUUUUAAUUUUACCAUAUUUUUUUUAAAGGGUUAACUUAAAAGAAAUCUAGAGAUCGUGUAUAAAAUAAUAAACUGCUAAGCUGUAUAGAGAAUGGGCAAAAGGGUUACUCUCCAAGAAAAUGAUAGGCUCAACAACUCACUUGACACUUAUUUAUGACAUGUUCAUUCCUUCAAGCAACUCAUAUUUGUCUCCGACAUCAACAUGUAAAAUAGCAAACAUAGCGUAACAUCACUUAAGACCAAAGAUAAUACAAAUACUAAAAUUUGAAAUUAAUCAUGUCAUCCAAUGUUAAAAUAAAUAACACAAUUUUUUUUUUAAACAACAUUCUACCCCCCAACCUAUUCUAAACAUGAAAGGAAAAUAUGCAUGCAGAAAUGUGAAAAUGAUGUAGAAAAAAUUAAUUAGAAAAAGAAAUUUUUUUUUUUUUUUAACUAAGAAGAUGCGUUUCUAGAGGCACUACACUCCAUAUUCAGCCAUCUUCGACUCAAAAAUUUGAAAAUAUAUAUUUAUAAAGGAGAAAGAGGAAGAAAACAAUUUUUUUUAUUUUUUUUUUGUUUUUUAAACGAUGAAGAUGCGUUUCUAGAGUAACUACACUCCAUAUUCAGCCAUCUUCAACACAAAAUGUUAGCAACAGUUAGUUUCUAUAACAAAAAAUCAGUAAAAACUUAACCAAGAUUCCACAAUUGUCGACUAUUCCCUCCCCCCAACCAGAACGAAACAUUGUCCUCAAUGUUUUAAAGGAAAGAAGUAGAGUUUAGAAGACAUCACCUGGGUGGUGCAACACAGAAGAAAAUAUUUACAGGCGGAGAGUUAAAUCUAAUUUGUACUUCUUACUGCGGCUACUGUUACCAUCAUUAUUUGGUCGCUCCAACACAAAGGUCCAGGGGUCUGGCUCCGGUUUAUAAGCUUGUAACAUAUCAAGUAGCUCAUUAGCAGUGUGAGCACAAAUAAAGAGUUUUUUCACAUUAGAAGGAAUGAAAUAGUUUUUUAUUGCAUGGUUAAGAAAUGCGAUAAAGGCAUCAUAAAAGUUAUUGACAUUUAACAAACCGAUGGGUUUCUGGUGGAUGUGCAGAUGGGCCCAAGAUGCUAGUGUGAUAAGUGCCUCUAGUGUUGCAAGAUCUCCUGGAAGGAAAAUAAAAGCAUCAGCAUGAUUAAGCAUUUCAGUUAUUCUUUCUUGCAUACCUGAGACGACUAACUCUUCUCCAGUUAAUGAGUCAGACAAACUGCCCAAUGGUUUUAGGACUCUUGGGAUGAUGCCUAACACUUGACUUCCUCUGAUAAAAGCUGCUUCUGAGACCAUUUUUUAUAACCCUCGGUUACCUCCUCCAUACACCAAGUGUAAUUUUCUCGCUGCUAUGCUUCGACCAAGAUCUAUGGCUGCCUCCACGAACUCUUUAUGUUUGCCAUAGGUAAAUCCAGAAAGCACACAAAUGUUCUUGAAUUAUCUAUUGGGAGUAGCUGCCAUUGUGAUACUUCUCAAAAACAAUUUGUGAGUGCUUGACAAAAGAUAAAUCACAUUUAAGAAUCUUGGUGACAGUGGAUCACAGCUGUGAAUGAGGUAACAUGUCAGUGUCAAAUAACGCAUAAAGCACGUGGCUCGCGAGUAAAAAAGGAAACAGUAAUAAAAUUAUUAAAGAAAAUAAUGUAAACAAUAAAACAACAGUGAAAUGAAAUAAAAUAACAGUAAAGUAAAAGGAUAUUUACACAUAGUUGCGACUGUGGCUCACAUCUUCCUCUGGUUUUACGUCCAGAAACGGCUUGAACGCCCUCUAUGGGUCGAGGAUCGGCUUCCCAUCCAGUUUUCUUAUAAACUGACAAACAGGGUCGUUUAUAGUCAGAUUCCCGAGACUAUAUCGUGCAUGCUCUUUCUGGAAUAAUGGCCAUAACCGGAGAAUCGCUCCUUGCACAUAUCCACUGGGAUGCGUUUCAAGAGACAAAAGGAUAUCAUCCAAUGACUCCUUAUUCAAGCCAUCCCUAAUGAAUUGAAUCUUAUCUUCCCUGUUAUCAGACACCAUUCCUAAAGAACAUGGGUUUUUAUCACAACUCAUUCUGGCACACUUAUGACAAGCAACAGAAAUUCUUCGAGCUCGUCGUUUUCUUGCAUAAUUUCCUUUACCACAACCAGGCAUGAAUGCAAUAAAUUUUGGAGGUAACUCACCUGCCGAUCGUACUUUAGCCUCGAUUAACCAACGGAUGUCAGCAGGUAUGUUAUUCUUCAUGAGUAAUCGCAUGCGUUCGGACCGAGCUUUAUAGAUCGUAAGGAGGGCAUUCUGAGGAAGUGAAGGGAGUCGCUUGUGAAGCUUCGCUAGAAUCUCGUUUCUGUCCAUACUUUCGCCUCAGAAUGUCAGUUAUUGUGGGAAACUGAAGUAACCGACUUGAUUGUCACGGAGUACCGUAAUCCGCCAUUUCACCGGGGGUAACAAACUAAAGCACACAAACAGAAAAACAAAUUAAAACACAUAAAGAAAAUUAAAAUCGUCCUCUUAUUGAAUUUACCUCAAGCUCCAACUGGAUGUCGUAAACACUUCUCUCAAUAUCUCGGAGUUGGCUUUCUAGAUUCUCAACAUAGGCUACUAACUCUGGUGGUUGUAGAGCCCAAAUGCGAUGUGUUUUACAAAAUUGAAUCUGCCUUUUGAGAUGAGUUUUGACACGUUGAAGUGGUUUAAGAAUGUUCAGGAGGAACGGUCUAAGUAAGGUACUCAUGAUUAAAAAUGAUAAGAGAAAACUUAAUAGUUAGACAAACACAGUUAUGCAAAAAUAAUGUCAAUUAGCAAAAGAAUAAUAAAAAGAAAGAAAGAAAAAUCAAAUCAACGAAAAGAAAAAACAAAUCAAUUCAAAUCUGGUGGGUCACUCAAAUUUAUUUCGGUGUCUUCUCCAUGUGGUUGGUAUUCUAGAUAUGGCUUUAAUCUUUGACCAUUAACUUUAAACGUGACACCAUUCUUUGGGUCCUUAAUUUCAAUUGCCCCAUGUGGAAAAACAGUAUGAAUAAUAAAAGGACCAGACCAUCGAGAGCGUAACUUACCUGGGAAUAGGUGCAAGCGAGAAUUGAAUAAAAGCACUUUCUGACCUGGAGUGAAAGAUUUUCUCAUAAUGUGCUUGUCAUGAAAGACUUUCAUCCGUUGCCUGUAAAUUUUGGCAUUUUCGUAUGCAUCAUUGCGAAUUUCUUCAAGUUCUGCCAGUUGUAAUCUUCUUUCUGAGCUGGCUUGCUGCAUGUCAAAGUUGAAUUUCUUGAUGGCCCAAUAUGCACGAUGCUCGAGUUCCACAAGUAGGUGGAAAGCUUUUCCAUACACUAGCCUGUAGGGUGACAUCCCAAUCGGGGUCUUGAAAGCCGUUCUAUAUGCCCAUAAUGCAUCAUCAAGUCUUAAUGACCAAUCUUUUCUGUCUGGCCUCACUGUUUUUUCUAAUAUGUGCUUUAUUUCUCGAUUGGAGAUCUUAACUUGGCCACUGGUUUGCAGAUGAUACGGGGUCGCCACUUUGUGUGUGAUUGAAUACUUUGUCAAAAGAGCCUUGAAUGCUUUGUUACAAAAGUGGGCACCACCAUCACUGAUUAUCGCUCGAGGGAAUCCAAAGCGUGAAACAAUGUUGCUUUUCAAAAAUCCUAUCACCACUUUGUGAUCAUUGGUUCUGCAUGGAAUUGCUUCCACCCAUUUCGAUACGUAGUCAACACCAACCAAUAUGUAUUGAUGGCCAAAAGAAGAGGGAAAGGGUCCCAUGAAGUCGAUACCCCAUACGUCAAAAAUCUCAACCACUAAAAUUGGAUUUAGUGGCAUCAUGUUUCUUCGUGUAAUGCUCCCCAUUCGUUGACACCUAUCACAUGAAGAACAGAAAGUGUAAGCAUCUCGAAAUAUAGUUGGCCAAUAAAAACCACAUUGUAAAACUUUAGUCGCCGUUUUCUUAGCACUGAAAUGACCUCCACAAGCUUGUUCAUGGCAGAAUGAAAGAAUAUUCUGAAUUUCAUUUUCAGGGACACAUCGUCUAACAAUUUGGUCUACACAAUACUUGAACAAAUAUGGGUCAUCCCAAAAGAAAUUCUUUAUUUCCGCAAAGAAUUUAGCCUUGUCUUGCUUGGUCCAAUGCUCUGGAAGUUUACCUGUAACAAGAUAAUUAACUAUAUCAGCAUACCAAGGUAAUACUUCCACAUUCAUUAAUUGUUCAUCUGGAAAUGACUCAUUCAAUGGUAAUGGUUCUGUAAUUGUGUCAAAGUGGAGACGAGAGAGAUAGUCCGCUACAACAUUUUCUGUCCCUUUCUUAUCUUUGAAUUCCAAGUCAAAUUCCUGCAAAAGUAACACCCAACGAAUUAGUCUAGCUUUUGCAUCUUUCUUUGUGAGAAGAUAUUUAAGAGCAGCAUGAUCUGUGAAUAUAAUUAUUUUACAACCAAUGAGAUAAGAUCGAAAUUUCUCUAAUGCAAACACUACUGCUAGCAUUUCUUUUUCAGUAGUUGAAUAGUUCAACUGUGCAUCAUUCAAUGUCAUACUAGCAUAGUAAAUAACAUGGGGAAUUCGAUCAACACUUUGUCCUAAUACUGCUCUUACUGCAUAAUCAGAUGCAUCACACAUGAGCUCAAAUGGUAAGCUCCAGUUUGGGGCCUGAAUGAUGGGUGAUGAUGUCAACAACUGCUUUAAUUUUUCAAAUGCCACAAGACAUGAAUCAUUAAAGAUAAAAGGUACAUCCUUAGUAAGUAAAUUACAUAAGGGUCUAGAAACUUUGCUAAAAUCUUUAAUGAAACGUCUAUAGAAACCAGCAUGCCCAAGGAAAGAUCUUACUUCUCUGAUUGUUUUGGGUGGAGGAAGAUUAGAAAUGAGAUCCACCUUGGCUUUGUCAACCUCAAUACCUUUGCUUGAAAUGAUGUGACCGAGAACAAUACCUUGUUUUACCAUAAAAUGGCACUUCUCCUAAUUUAAUAUUAAGUUCUUCUCGAUACAUCUCUGCAGAACUAGCGUUAGAUGAUGUAAACAUUGAUCAAACGAGUCACCAAAGACAGAAAAAUCAUCCAUAAAGACUUCAAGUAAUCGUUCAACCAUAUCAGAAAAAAUGCUCAACAUGCAUCGUUGGAAUGUAGCAGGUGCAUUACAUAAUCCAAAUGGCAUUCUCCUAUAUGCAAAAGUGCCAAAAGGGCAAGUGAAAGUAGUUUUCUCCUGAUCUUUUGGUGCUAUGGGAAUCUGAUUAUAUCCUGAGUAGCCAUCUAGAAAGCAAUAAAAUUCGUGGCCUGCUAAUCUAUCAAGCAUUUGAUCGAUAAAUGGUAAAGGAAAAUGGUCUUUACGUGUGACAGAAUUCAACUUUCUAUAAUCAAUGCAUACACGCCAUCCUGUAGUUACUCUAGUUGGUAUCAAUUCAUUAUCAGCAUUGGUAACUACUGUGACUCCUGACUUUUUGGGGACGACUUGUACAGGACUGACCCAUGAACUAUCAGAAAUUGGGUAAAUGAUACAUGCGUCUAAUAGCUUAAGGACUUCUGUUCUAACAACUUCUUUCAUAUUAGGAUUUAACCGACGUUGCAUUUCCCUAGUAGAUUUAGCAUUUUCAUCAAGGUGAAUGUAAUGCAUGCAGUCUACUGGAUUUAUACCUUUUAUGUCCGCUAUGGUCCAUCCUAAUGCUCCUUUGUGCUCUUUUAAUACAUCCAACAACUUACCUUUUUGUUCGUCAUUUAGGAAUGAUGAGAUGAUUACCGGCAGAGUACUUUCUUCUCCCAAAAAUGCAUAUUCCAAUGUGUUGGGCAAUGGUUUGAGCUCGAGUUUCGGUGGUGAUUCUGAUGAUGGGAUGAGUUUCUUUUCUGAUGGUGCUAGUUGUUCUACUCUUGACUUCCAUUUAUUAGUGUCCAUGGAUGGUGCUGAGUCAAGUAGGGCGUUGACCUCUUCGACCGAUCUGUCAAUAUCAAAAUCCAAACUAAAGUGAGUUAAACAUGUUUGUAAAGGAUCAUCACUAAGGUUUGAAAGAAAUGUAUUAUCAACUAUUGUUUCUAUUAAAUCCACAUCAACAAUUCCAUCAUCUGCACUGUGAGGUUGUUUGGCAAUGUUGAAAAUGUUUAGCUCCAUAGUCAUGUUGCCGAAGGACAAUUGCAUAUUUCCGGUCCUACAUUGAAUAUGAGCAUCUGCAGUUGCCAAGAAAGGUCGGCCUAGAAUAAUGGGGAUGUGCUUCCUUGAGUCCUGUAUUGGUUGAGUGUCAAUUACAAUGAAAUCAACAGGAAAAUAAAACUUGUCCACCUGGAUAAGCACGUCCUCCACAAUACCACGAGGUAUUUUCGUGGACCGAUCUGCAAGCUGUAACACCACUGGAGUUGGGUGUAAUUCUCCAAGUCCAAGUUUCACGAAUACAGAGUAAGGCAAAAGAUUUACACUAGCUCCUAAAUCCAAUAAAGCAUUCUCAAUUGUGUGGUUCCCUAUACUACAUGAGAUAGUGGGGGAGCCUGGGUCUUUGCAUUUUAAAGGAAUUUUAUGUUGGAGUAUAGAACUAACGUUUUCUGUUAAAAAUGCCUUCUUUUGAACAUGCAUGUUUCUCUUUUUAGUACAAAGGUCUUUAAGAAACUUGGCAUAAGAUGGAACUUGUUUAAUAGCAUCAAGCAAAGGGAUGUUAACACUUACCUGUUUGAAGAUUUCAAGAAUCUCACCUGUGGAUUUUCCCUUUUUUCCUUUCGCUAACCUCUGAGGAAAUGGAGCUUUCAGAACGUAUUCUCGUGGGUUGGUUUCUUCUUUUUCCUCCGGUGGUGAGUCCUCAACAUUCACAGGUACAAUUUGAUUUUCUUUUGUCACCGGUAUCUCCACUUUAUUGUCGACUUCUUUUCCUUUUCGCAAGGUCAUGACUGCUUUGACCUCUCCAUGCUGCUGUGGUGAACUGGUACUUGCUUCAUGUACUCCUUUAGGAUUAGGCACUGGUUGACUUGGAAACUUGCCUUUCUCAACAGUAAUUGCCAAGGUCUGAACUGAAGAAGCGAGUUGUCCCACCAUCUUCUCGAGGCUUGAAACUGAUUGGGCUUGUGAGUUGAAGCCCGCUCUCAACUCAUUUCGUAGUCCAUCAAUGGUGCGGUUCUGUUGCUCAAUCGUGGAGUGAGUAACAUUCUUGAAAUUCUAGAAUGCAUCCUCCCAUGGUCUGGGUUGAGAGUAGUUCUGGUUCUGAUUGUAUGGUCUGAAUGGUGGCUGAGAGGCUUGAGGAUUUUGAGGAAUUUGUUGCAUUGGAGGAGCUGGAGCUGCUGGUCCAUUCUGUUGGAAUCCUUGAGACCAUGAAAAAUUGGGGUGGUCUCUCCAUCCAGGGUUAUAUAUGUUGGAGUAUGGGUUGUAAUUCGAUGGUUUUCUCAUUACACCUAUGGCAUUGGCUUGAUCGGAGUAUGAGUCAUGGUCAUGUGGUUCUGUUGAUUUAGCAGUCGAUAACGAUGCUAUUUGUCGAGCAAGACCUUCAACCAUCUCCUUGACUUCUUUGAUUCCCGAAGUUGACUCGCCAAUGUGAACCUCAUUCACUCCUUUAAUCCUUCUAGUAUUCCUGAGUGAUCGACUCCGUUAUUGGGAAUUGUCCGCUUGUCGCUGGAAAAACUCCCAAAUUUCUGAUGCACUUUUUGACAUUAGCUCUCCUCCACUUGUUGCCAUUAGCCAUUCUUGCACAUUCGGCAAUAAUCCCUCCAAAAAGUAUUGGCAUUGGUGCCAUUUUUCGUACCCAUGAUGUGGACACUUCAAGAGUAGCCCAUUGAAUCGCUCCCACGUUUCGAAAAAUUGCUCGUCCUCUUUUUGUGUAAACUCUGAAAUUUCCCUGCGAAUAGAAUUGGUUUUAUGCACUGGGAAAUAUUUAUUCAAAAAUUUUGUAACCAUUUGUUCCCAUGAUGCAAUGCUAUUAGCAGGCAAUGUAUUAAGCCAUGAACGAGCUCUAUCCUUUAAAGAAAAUGGGAAUAGUCUAAGUUUAACAUCAUCGUCUGAAAAAUUUUCAUAUUUAAAAGUUUGACAAAUGGCAUGAAAAUCAUUCAGAUGAUUAUAUGGGUCCUCAUUUUCUAGGCCAUAGAAUGUGGGGAGACAAUUUUGCACACUAGGUUUUAAUUCAAAACUCCUAGCAGCUACAUUUGGGUAUCUAAUACAUGAUGUGCUCAAAUUAGCUAAGGGACUAAAAUAGUCCUUAAAUGGCCUCUCCUGUGGUGCUUGUAAAUCCAUUCCAAAUUUAUUUUUUAAUGUGCUUUUGUGUGCGAAGUGUUUUUUCUAGUUCAAGGUCUAUAGGUUCAAGAUUAGGUAAUAAUGACCUACGACCAUGCAUGCAAAAUAAAUAAAAUAAAAAUAAAGAUGGGAACAAAAACAAAUAAAAAUAAAGAAGAGGGAGAAAUUACGAUACUAACCUUAUUGCGCUAUUACAACCUUUCUAUAAAAAUACACAAAAACAAAUACGUGAAAUAAAUUAACUAAAAAUUAAAUUAAUAAAAUAAACAAAAAUUACAAAGAAAAAAUAAAUUGAAAAUUAAAUUACAGAAUUUUAAAGAAGAGAAAAAGAAAAGAAAUACUAACCUCUAAAUGCGGAUUCACUUUUUUUUUUUAAUAAAAAAUACAAGAAAACAAUUUAAAAUAAAUUAUUCACAAAAAUUAAUUCUAUGAAUUAAAAUUACUUACCUCCCCGGCAACGGCGCCAAAAACUUGUUGUGCAAAUUUUAAUGAACUGGCAAGCGCACGAAUCUAUUGUAGUAUAGAUCAAUGGUGACGAGUGUCGAUCCCACGAGGAGGUGGAUUUUAAUUGUAUGUAGAAUUAAUUUUGUAAAUGGGUGAUUAGAAUUGUGGUGGAAGUGAUUUAAAAUAUGCUAAAAUUGGAAUUGAAAUGACGAUAAUAAAUAUGCUAAAAUUGGAAUUGCAAUGGCGAGAAUAAAUUGUAGAGAAAAUCGAUUAAAUUGACGUACUUGGGUAUCUGGAUCCGUAUCAACAUGCAUCAUGGGCUAAAUAAUCCGUAUUAAUGCCAAUUAAAUCGUGAGGGGAGAAUCCACACCUCAUGAACCACGCUCUAAUCAAUAUGGUGCUAAGGGCUUAUCGUGCCAAAUAAUAAUAACCUUAUACUAGAGAGCCGGUGUAACCAAGGCGGUAUCUAGACAAGAUCAGUAUUAUUUGUCGACGAUAAGUCAAAUCAUCCACAAAAACUAGAGGGGAAAAGAAAAUAAAUUUACCAAAUUAAGCCCAUGACACAUGUUGAGACUUCACCUUCAACCCAAGCUUGAAAGAAAAUUAGCCACUCAUAAUUGAACUAGGGGCAAAAAGGGAAUUUAUUAAAAUACAAAGAAAAUACAAGAUGGAGAAGGAAUUACAGAAAAUGGAUCCCAAAAAUGGAUUCAAAGAUAUCAAAUUUGGGGGGGGAGGCCCCCUUUUUAUAAAUACAUGGAGUAAAUCAUGGCCAUCGGAUUAAAAACAGUUUGGACACUCAGGAUUGCGCCACGUCAUCAGUCAACAGUCCACGGUUUGACCACGCGGACAUGAACAGUAACACGGUUUGACCCGGAAUGAACAGUAAUGUGGUUUGGUUGAAAAUAAUCCUGUGUGAUGCAUGCACUGUACGUGAGAUUUUUCGUCCACUGAUAUGCUGCCACGUCACCAUCAACAGUACAUAAGAAUUUUAGUCCAACAGGAUCGUGACACCUCAUCAGUCAAUGCCACAUCAUCGGUCAAUGCCACAUCAUCGAUCCGUCUAUGUGAAUAGUGUCAUGAACAGUAACGUAGACAGUACCGUAUACGUGAAUAGUACCGUACAUGUGAAUAAUGCUAUUUUUCCUUUUAUGCUCCUCCUAAGGUUUUUCGACCGUCCUGAGUUCAAAAGUGAUGUCCGUUUUGCCAUCUGAUCUCUCCUUUAUUGUGAAAUGACUAUAAUGCCCCUAAAAUACAUAAAAUACUUAAUUAAAAUAAAACACAUGUAAUUAAAUCACAAGAAGGUUAAAUACAUAAAAGUAAGGGUUGUUAAUAAGACUUGAAAUGUAAAAUGACAGUUUUCUCCUUUAUAAAUAUUGCAUUUUUCUAACACUCAACACACCCCCUAACCAGCUUAUUGCUAGUCCCUAGCAAAUAAAGCGAAAACAAAAUUCAAAUUCAAAAUGAUUUUUUUUUUUUUUUUAGAAACACUCGUGUUUAUUCAAUCAGAUUAAUGAUAGCAAUCAAAUAAAAGUAUAAGCAUUAUCUCCAGUCUAAAGCAACAUCACACCCACAUCAACCAUCCACAUGAAUCGGCCCAGUAGACUUUGUUAUAGCUACUUUCAAGAAUGACAUGUCAAACCCCAAAAUCUCACUGGAAAGUAGUGACACUCUCACAAAGAAAUUAAACCCAAAAAAUAGUCACUCCAAUGAAUGGUAAUUGAGAGAAAAUAAUGAAAAAGUGAUAUCACAUGCUCUCACCAAGAUGAAAUAAAUAUGCCCUCAGCCUUAGAAAUAAUACAAUCUCAAGUCAAAUAAAAAAAAUGUUAGUCAACCCAAUUUAUUUUUUUAUAUGCACCACUACAUCUGUUUAGCCCAUAUAACUAGCUUCUACUUCAAACUAUAGUUCCCUAAAAUCAAGAAGGACUUUUAUUAGGACGUAACGUAGGUUAGGGACAUGGCUAACAAAGAAGGGAAAUAAGGAAAACAAAAUGUAUGUCUGAGACAAAUGUAGAAAUUUUUUUUUUUUUUUUUUAGGAAGUUGCAAGGUGGAUUUCACCUAUGAUUGUUAUUUUUAUUCUUUUGAAACAAUAACUUUUGUUUUGUUUUUUUUCUGUUUGUUUUUUUUUUUUUGCUUUUAUUUGGCAUAACUUCACUGAACAACAUAAUUAUUUACAUUUUCUCAAACAUAAAUAGGUGAUAGAACUUAUAAGACAUCGGGUAAUACUCCAAAUCGGAGUGGGCAAGAGGAUAAGUUGACAAAGAAAAGGUUUUUUUUUUUUUUAAAAAAAAAAAAAAGGCUCAAAAGGGGUAACUAUGGAUAUUUAAUAAAAGGGAUGGCUAGAAAGGCUCAAACGGAUCAAAGAUGGCCUUUCCAUCAUCUUUUAGGGCUCUAAAUAAUUAUCCAUAUCUACUGGUUAGAUGGGCCUCCUAAUGUAGCAACACACAUUUUUUUCUUUUUUUAAUUUUACCAUAUUUUUUUUAAAGGGUUAACUUAAAAGAAAUCUAGAGAUCGUGUAUAAAAUAAUAAACUGCUAAGCUGUAUAGAGAAUGGCAAAAGGGUUACUCUCCAAGAAAAUGAUAGGCUCAACAACUCACUUGACACUUAUUUAUGACAUGUUCAUUCCUUCAAGCAACUCAUAUUUGUCUCCGACAUCAACAUGUAAAAUAGCAAACAUAGCGUAACAUCACUUAAGACCAAAGAUAAUACAAAUACUAAAAUUUGAAAUUAAUCAUGUCAUCCAAUGUUAAAAUAAAUAACACAAUUUUUUUUUUUAAACAACAUUCUACCCCCCAACCUAUUCUAAACAUGAAAGGAAAAUAUGCAUGCAGAAAUGUGAAAAUGAUGUAGAAAAAAUUAAUUAGAAAAAGAAAUUUUUUUUUUUUUUAACUAAGAAGAUGCGUUUCUAGAGGCACUACACUCCAUAUUCAGCCAUCUUCGACUCAAAAAUUUGAAAAUAUAUAUUUAUAAAGGAGAAAGAGGAAGAAAACAAUUUUUUUUAUUUUUUUUUUGUUUUUUAAACGAUGAAGAUGCGUUUCUAGAGUAACUACACUCCAUAUUCAGCCAUCUUCAACACAAAAAUGUUAGCAACAGUUAGUUUCUAUAACAAAAAAUCAGUAAAAACUUAACCAAGAUUCCACAAUUGUCGACUAUUCCCUCCCCCCAACCAGAACGAAACAUUGUCCUCAAUGUUUUAAAGGAAAGAAGUAGAGUUUAGAAGACAUCACCUGGGUGGUGCAACACAGAAGAAAAUAUUUACAGGCGGAGAGUUAAAUCUAAUUUGUACUUCUUACUGCGGCUACUGUUACCAUCAUUAUUUGGUCGCUCCAACACAAAGGUCCAGGGGUCUGGCUCCGGUUUAUAAGCUUGUAACAUAUCAAGUAGCUCAUUAGCAGUGUGAGCACAAAUAAAGAGUUUUUUUCACAUUAGAAGGAAUGAAAUAGUUUUUUAUUGCAUGGUUAAGAAAUGCGAUAAAGGCAUCAUAAAAGUUAUUGACAUUUAACAAACCGAUGGGUUUCUGGUGGAUGUGCAGAUGGGCCCAAGAUGCUAGUGUGAUAAGUGCCUCUAGUGUUGCAAGAUCUCCUGGAAGGAAAAUAAAAGCAUCAGCAUGAUUAAGCAUUUCAGUUAUUCUUUCUUGCAUACCUGAGACGACUAACUCUUCUCCAGUUAAUGAGUCAGACAAACUGCCCAAUGGUUUUAGGACUCUUGGGAUGAUGCCUAACACUUGACUUCCUCUGAUAAAAGCUGCUUCUGAGACCAUUUUUUAUAACCCUCGGUUACCUCCUCCAUACACCAAGUGUAAUUUUCUCGCUGCUAUGCUUCGACCAAGAUCUAUGGCUGCCUCCACGAACUCUUUAUGUUUGCCAUAGGUAAAUCCAGAAAGCACACAAAUGUUCUUGAAUUAUCUAUUGGGAGUAGCUGCCAUUGUGAUACUUCUCAAAAACAAUUUGUGAGUGCUUGACAAAAGAUAAAUCACAUUUAAGAAUCUUGGUGACAGUGGAUCACAGCUGUGAAUGAGGUAACAUGUCAGUGUCAAAUAACGCAUAAAGCACGUGGCUCGCGAGUAAAAAAGGAAACAGUAAUAAAAUUAUUAAAGAAAAUAAUGUAAACAAUAAAACAACAGUGAAAUGAAAUAAAAUAACAGUAAAGUAAAAGGAUAUUUACACAUAGUUGCGACUGUGGCUCACAUCUUCCUCUGGUUUUACGUCCAGAAACGGCUUGAACGCCCUCUAUGGGUCGAGGAUCGGCUUCCCAUCCAGUUUUCUUAUAAACUGACAAACAGGGUCGUUUAUAGUCAGAUUCCCGAGACUAUAUCGUGCAUGCUCUUUCUGGAAUAAUGGCCAUAACCGGAGAAUCGCUCCUUGCACAUAUCCACUGGGAUGCGUUUCAAGAGACAAAAGGAUAUCAUCCAAUGACUCCUUAUUCAAGCCAUCCCUAAUGAAUUGAAUCUUAUCUUCCCUGUUAUCAGACACCAUUCCUAAAGAACAUGGGUUUUUAUCACAACUCAUUCUGGCACACUUAUGACAAGCAACAGAAAUUCUUCGAGCUCGUCGUUUUCUUGCAUAAUUUCCUUUACCACAACCAGGCAUGAAUGCAAUAAAUUUUGGAGGUAACUCACCUGCCGAUCGUACUUUAGCCUCGAUUAACCAACGGAUGUCAGCAGGUAUGUUAUUCUUCAUGAGUAAUCGCAUGCGUUCGGACCGAGCUUUAUAGAUCGUAAGGAGGGCAUUCUGAGGAAGUGAAGGGAGUCGCUUGUGAAGCUUCGCUAGAAUCUCGUUUCUGUCCAUACUUUCGCCUCAGAAUGUCAGUUAUUGUGGGAAACUGAAGUAACCGACUUGAUUGUCACGGAGUACCGUAAUCCGCCAUUUCACCGGGGUAACAAACUAAAGCACACAAACAGAAAAACAAAUUAAAACACAUAAAGAAAAUUAAAAUCGUCCUCUUAUUGAAUUUACCUCAAGCUCCAACUGGAUGUCGUAAACACUUCUCUCAAUAUCUCGGAGUUGGCUUUCUAGAUUCUCAACAUAGGCUACUAACUCUGGUGGUUGUAGAGCCCAAAUGCGAUGUGUUUUACAAAAUUGAAUCUGCCUUUUGAGAUGAGUUUUGACACGUUGAAGUGGUUUAAGAAUGUUCAGGAGGAACGGUCUAAGUAAGGUACUCAUGAUUAAAAAUGAUAAGAGAAAACUUAAUAGUUAGACAAACACAGUUAUGCAAAAAUAAUGUCAAUUAGCAAAAGAAUAAUAAAAAGAAAGAAAGAAAAAUCAAAUCAACGAAAAGAAAAAACAAAUCAAUUCAAAUCUGGUGGGUCACUCAAAUUUAUUUCGGUGUCUUCUCCAUGUGGUUGGUAUUCUAGAUAUGGCUUUAAUCUUUGACCAUUAACUUUAAACGUGACACCAUUCUUUGGGUCCUUAAUUUCAAUUGCCCCAUGUGGAAAAACAGUAUGAAUAAUAAAAGGACCAGACCAUCGAGAGCGUAACUUACCUGGGAAUAGGUGCAAGCGAGAAUUGAAUAAAAGCACUUUCUGACCUGGAGUGAAAGAUUUUCUCAUAAUGUGCUUGUCAUGAAAGACUUUCAUCCGUUGCCUGUAAAUUUUGGCAUUUUCGUAUGCAUCAUUGCGAAUUUCUUCAAGUUCUGCCAGUUGUAAUCUUCUUUCUGAGCUGGCUUGCUGCAUGUCAAAGUUGAAUUUCUUGAUGGCCCAAUAUGCACGAUGCUCGAGUUCCACAAGUAGGUGGAAAGCUUUUCCAUACACUAGCCUGUAGGGUGACAUCCCAAUCGGGGUCUUGAAAGCCGUUCUAUAUGCCCAUAAUGCAUCAUCAAGUCUUAAUGACCAAUCUUUUCUGUCUGGCCUCACUGUUUUUUCUAAUAUGUGCUUUAUUUCUCGAUUGGAGAUCUUAACUUGGCCACUGGUUUGCAGAUGAUACGGGGUCGCCACUUUGUGUGUGAUUGAAUACUUUGUCAAAAGAGCCUUGAAUGCUUUGUUACAAAAGUGGGCACCACCAUCACUGAUUAUCGCUCGAGGGAAUCCAAAGCGUGAAACAAUGUUGCUUUUCAAAAAUCCUAUCACCACUUUGUGAUCAUUGGUUCUGCAUGGAAUUGCUUCCACCCAUUUCGAUACGUAGUCAACACCAACCAAUAUGUAUUGAUGGCCAAAAGAAGAGGGAAAGGGUCCCAUGAAGUCGAUACCCCAUACGUCAAAAAUCUCAACCACUAAAAUUGGAUUUAGUGGCAUCAUGUUUCUUCGUGUAAUGCUCCCCAUUCGUUGACACCUAUCACAUGAAGAACAGAAAGUGUAAGCAUCUCGAAAUAUAGUUGGCCAAUAAAAACCACAUUGUAAAACUUUAGUCGCCGUUUUCUUAGCACUGAAAUGACCUCCACAAGCUUGUUCAUGGCAGAAUGAAAGAAUAUUCUGAAUUUCAUUUUCAGGGACACAUCGUCUAACAAUUUGGUCUACACAAUACUUGAACAAAUAUGGGUCAUCCCAAAAGAAAUUCUUUAUUUCCGCAAAGAAUUUAGCCUUGUCUUGCUUGGUCCAAUGCUCUGGAAGUUUACCUGUAACAAGAUAAUUAACUAUAUCAGCAUACCAAGGUAAUACUUCCACAUUCAUUAAUUGUUCAUCUGGAAAUGACUCAUUCAAUGGUAAUGGUUCUGUAAUUGUGUCAAAGUGGAGACGAGAGAGAUAGUCCGCUACAACAUUUUCUGUCCCUUUCUUAUCUUUGAAUUCCAAGUCAAAUUCCUGCAAAAGUAACACCCAACGAAUUAGUCUAGCUUUUGCAUCUUUCUUUGUGAGAAGAUAUUUAAGAGCAGCAUGAUCUGUGAAUAUAAUUAUUUUACAACCAAUGAGAUAAGAUCGAAAUUUCUCUAAUGCAAACACUACUGCUAGCAUUUCUUUUUCAGUAGUUGAAUAGUUCAACUGUGCAUCAUUCAAUGUCAUACUAGCAUAGUAAAUAACAUGGGGAAUUCGAUCAACUCUUUGUCCUAAUACUGGUCUUACUGCAUAAUCAGAUGCAUCACACAUGAGCUCAAAUGGUAAGCUCCAGUUUGGGGCCUGAAUGAUGGGUGAUGAUGUCAACAACUGCUUUAAUUUUUCAAAUGCCACAAGACAUGAAUCAUUAAAGAUAAAAGGUACAUCCUUAGUAAGUAAAUUACAUAAGGGUCUAGAAACUUUGCUAAAAUCUUUAAUGAAACGUCUAUAGAAACCAGCAUGCCCAAGGAAAGAUCUUACUUCUCUGAUUGUUUUGGGUGGAGGAAGAUUAGAAAUGAGAUCCACCUUGGCUUUGUCAACCUCAAUACCUUUGCUUGAAAUGAUGUGACCGAGAACAAUACCUUGUUUUACCAUAAAAUGGCACUUCUCCUAAUUUAAGAUUAAGUUCUUCUCGAUACAUCUCUGCAGAACUAGCGUUAGAUGAUGUAAACAUUGAUCAAACGAGUCACCAAAGAUAGAAAAAUCAUCCAUAAAGACUUCAAGGAAUCGUUCAACCAUAUCAGAAAAAAUGCUCAACAUGCAUCGUUGGAAUGUAGCAGGUGCAUUACAUAAUCCAAAUGGCAUUCUCCUAUAUGCAAAAGUGCCAAAAGGGCAAGUGAAAGUAGUUUUCUCCUGAUCUUUUGGUGCUAUGGGAAUCUGAUUAUAUCCUGAGUAGCCAUCUAGAAAGCAAUAAAAUUCGUGGCCUGCUAAUCUAUCAAGCAUUUGAUCGAUAAAUGGUAAAGGAAAAUGGUCUUUACGUGUGACAGAAUUCAACUUUCUAUAAUCAAUGCAUACACGCCAUCCUGUAGUUACUCUAGUUGGUAUCAAUUCAUUAUCAGCAUUGGUAACUACUGUGACUCCUGACUUUUUGGGGACGACUUGUACAGGACUGACCCAUGAACUAUCAGAAAUUGGGUAAAUGAUACAUGCGUCUAAUAGCUUAAGGACUUCUGUUCUAACAACUUCUUUCAUAUUAGGAUUUAACCGACGUUGCAUUUCCCUAGUAGAUUUAGCAUUUUCAUCAAGGUGAAUGUAAUGCAUGCAGUCUACUGGAUUUAUACCUUUUAUGUCCGCUAUGGUCCAUCCUAAUGCUCCUUUGUGCUCUUUUAACACAUCCAACAACUUACCUUUUUGUUCGUCAUUUAGGGAUGAUGAGAUGAUUACCGGCAGAGUACUUUCUUCUCCCAAAAAUGCAUAUUCCAAUGUGUUGGGCAAUGGUUUGAGCUCGAGUUUCGGUGGUGAUUCUGAUGAUGGGAUGAGUUUCUUUUCUGAUGGUGCUAGUUGUUCUACUCUUGACUUCCAUUUAUUAGUGUCCAUGGAUGGUGCUGAGUCAAGUAGGGCGUUGACCUCUUCGACCGAUCUGUCAAUAUCAAAAUCCAAACUAAAGUGAGUUAAACAUGUUUGUAAAGGAUCAUCACUAAGGUUUGAAAGAAAUGUAUUAUCAACUAUUGUUUCUAUUAAAUCCACAUCAACAAUUCCAUCAUCUGCACUGUGAGGUUGUUUGGCAAUAUUGAAAAUGUUUAGCUCCAUAGUCAUGUUGCCGAAGGACAAUUGCAUAUUUCCGGUCCUACAUUGAAUAUGAGCAUCUGCAGUUGCCAAGAAAGGUCGGCCUAGAAUAAUGGGGAUGUGCUUCCUUGAGUCCUGUAUUGGUUGAGUGUCAAUUACAAUGAAAUCAACAGGAAAAUAAAACUUGUCCACCUGGAUAAGCACGUCCUCCACAAUACCACGAGGUAUUUUCGUGGACCGAUCUGCAAGCUGUAACACCACUGGAGUUGGGUGUAAUUCUCCAAGUCCAAGUUUCACGAAUACAGAGUAAGGCAAAAGAUUUACACUAGCUCCUAAAUCCAACAAAGCAUUCUCAAUUGUGUGGUUCCCUAUACUACAUGAGAUAGUGGGGGAGCCUGGGUCUUUGCAUUUUAAAGGAAUUUUAUGUUGGAGUAUAGAACUAACGUUUUCUGUUAAAAAUGCCUUCUUUUGAACAUGCAUGUUUCUCUUUUUAGUACAAAGGUCUUUAAGAAACUUGGCAUAAGAUGGAACUUGUUUAAUAGCAUCAAGCAAAGGGAUGUUAACACUUACCUGUUUGAAGAUUUCAAGAAUCUCACCUGUGGAUUUUCCCUUUUUUCCUUUCGCUAACCUCUGAGGAAAUGGAGCUUUCAGAACGUAUUCUCGUGGGUUGGUUUCUUCUUUUUCCUCCGGUGGUGAGUCCUCAACAUUCACAGGUACAAUUUGAUUUUCUUUUGUCACCGGUAUCUCCACUUUAUUGUCGACUUCUUUUCCUUUUCGCAAGGUCAUGACUGCUUUGACCUCUCCAUGCUGCUGUGGUGAACUGGUACUUGCUUCAUGUACUCCUUUAGGAUUAGGCACUGGUUGACUUGGAAACUUGCCUUUCUCAACAGUAAUUGCCAAGGUCUGAACUGAAGAAGCGAGUUGUCCCACCAUCUUCUCGAGGCUUGAAACUGAUUGGGCUUGUGAGUUGAAGCCCGCUCUCAACUCAUUUCGUAGUCCAUCAAUGGUGCGGUUCUGUUGCUCAAUCGUGGAGUGAGUAACAUUCUUGAAAUUCUGGAAUGCAUCCUCCCAUGGUCUGGGUUGAGAGUAGUUCUGGUUCUGAUUGUAUGGUCUGAAUGGUGGCUGAGAGGCUUGAGGAUUUUGAGGAAUUUGUUGCAUUGGUGGAGCUGGAGCAGCUGGUCCAUUCUGUUGGAAUCCUUGAGACCAUGAAAAAUUGGGGUGGUCUCUCCAUCCAGGGUUAUAUAUGUUGGAGUAUGGGUUGUAAUUCGAUGGUUUUCUCAUUACACCUAUGGCAUUGGCUUGAUCGGAGUAUGAGUCAUGGUCAUGUGGUUCUGUUGAUUUAGCAGUCGAUAACGAUGCUAUUUGUCGAGCAAGACCUUCAACCAUCUACUUGACUUCUUUGAUUCCCGAAGUUGACUCGCCAAUGUGAACCUCAUUCACUCCUUUAAUCCUUCUAGUAUUCCUGAGUGAUCGACUCCGUUAUUGGGAAUUGUCCGCUUGUCGCUGGAAAAACUCCCAAAUUUCUGAUGCACUUUUUGACAUUAGCUCUCCUCCACUUGUUGCCAUUAGCCAUUCUUGCACAUUCGGCAAUAAUCCCUCCAAAAAGUAUUGGCAUUGGUGCCAUUUUUCGUACCCAUGAUGUGGACACUUCAAGAGUAGCCCAUUGAAUCGCUCCCAUGUUUCGAAAAAUUGCUCGUCCUCUCUUUGUGUAAACUCUGAAAUUUCCCUGCGAAUAGAAUUGGUUUUAUGCACUGGGAAAUAUUUAUUCAAAAAUUUUGUAACCAUUUGUUCCCAUGAUGCAAUGCUAUUAGCAGGCAAUGUAUUAAGCCAUGAACGAGCUCUAUCCUUUAAAGAAAAUGGGAAUAGUCUAAGUUUAACAUCAUCGUCUGAAAAAUUUUCAUAUUUAAAAGUUUGACAAAUGGCAUGAAAAUCAUUCAGAUGAUUAUAUGGGUCCUCAUUUUCUAGGCCAUAGAAUGUGGGGAGACAAUUUAGCACACUAGGUUUUAAUUCAAAACUCCUAGCAGCUACAUUUGGGUAUCUAAUACAUGAUGUACUCAAAUUAGCUAAGGGACUAAAAUAGUCCUUAAAUGGCCUCUCCUGUGGUGCUUGUAAAUCCAUUCCAAAUUUAUUUUUAAUGUGCUUUUGUGUGCGAAGUGUUUUUUCUAGUUCAAGGUCUAUAGGUUCAAGAUUAGGUAAUAAUGACCUACGACCAUGCAUGCAAAAUAAAUAAAAUAAAAAUAAAGAUGGGAACAAAAACAAAUAAAAAUAAAGAAGAGGGAGAAAUUACGAUACUAAUCUUAUUGCGCUAUUAUAACCUUUCUAUAAAAAUACACAAAAACAAAUACGUGAAAUAAAUUAACUAAAAAUUAAAUUAAUAAAAUAAACAAAAAUUACAAAGAAAAAAUAAAUUGAAAAUUAAAUUACAGAAUUUUAAAGAAGAGAAAAAGAAAAGAAAUACUAACCUCUAAAUGCGGAUUCACUUUUUUUUUUUAAUAAAAAAUACAAGAAAACAAUUUAAAAUAAAUUAUUCACAAAAAUUAAUUCUAUGAAUUAAAUUACUUACCUCCCCGGCAACGGCGCCAAAAACUUGUUGUGCAAAUUUUAAUGAACUCGCAAGCGCACGAAUCUAUUGUAGUAUAGAUCAAUGGUGACGAGUGUCGAUCCCACGAGGAGGUGGAUUUUAAUUGUAUGUAGAAUUAAUUUUGUAAAUGGGUGGUUAGAAUUGUGGUGGAAGUGAUUUAAAAUAUGCUAAAAUUGGAAUUGAAAUGACGAUAAUAAAUAUGCUAAAAUUGGAAUUGCAAUGGCGAGAAUAAAUUGUAGAGAAAAUCGAUUAAAUUGACGUACUUGGGUAUCUGGAUCCGUAUCAACAUGCAUCAUGGGCUAAAUAAUCCGUAUUAAUGCCAAUUAAAUCAUGAGGGGAGAAUCCACACCUCAUGAACCACGCUCUAAUCAAUAUGGUGCUAAGGGCUUAUCGUGCCAAAUAAUAAUAACCUUAUACUAGAGAGCCGGUGUAACCAAGGCGGUAUCUAGACAAGAUCAGUAUUAUUUGUCGACGAUAAGUCAAAUCAUCCACAAAAACUAGAGGGGAAAAGAAAAUAAAUUUACCAAAUUAAGCCCAUGACACAUGUUGAGACUUCACCUUCAACCCAAGCUUGAAAGAAAAUUAGCCACUCAUAAUUGAACUAGGGGCAAAAAGGGAAUUUAUUAAAAUACAAAGAAAAUACAAGAUGGAGAAGGAAUUACAGAAAAUGGAUCCCAAAAAUGGAUUCAAAGAUAUCAAAUUUGGGGGGGGAGGCCCCCUUUUUAUAGAUACAUGGAGUAAAUCAUGGCCAUCGGAUUAAAAACAGUUUGGACACUCAGGAUUGCACCACGUCAUCAGUCAACAGUCCACGGUUUGACCACGCGGAUGAACAGUAACACGGUUUGACCUGGAUGAACAGUAACGUGGUUUGGUUGAAAAUAAUCCUGUGUGAUGCAUGCACCGUACGUGAGAUUUUUCGUCCACUGAUAUGCUACCACAUCACCAUCAACAGUACAUAAGAAUUUUAGUCCAACAGGAUCGUGACACCUCAUCAGUCAAUGCCACAUCAUCGAUCAAUGCCACGUCAUCGAUCCGUCUAUGUGAAUAGUGUCAUGAACAGUAACGUAGACAGUACCGUAUACGUGAAUAGUACCGUACAUGUAAAUAGUGCCAUUUUUCCUUUUAUGCUCCUCCUAAGGUUUUCGACCGUCCUGAGUUCAAAAGUGAUGUCUGUUUUGCCAUCUGAUCUCUCCUUUAUUGUGAAAUGACUAUAAUACCCCUAAAAUACAUAAAAUACUUAAUUAAAAUAAAACACAUGUAAUUAAAUCACAAGAAGGUUAAAUACAUAAAAGUAAGGGUUGUUAAUAAGACUUGAAAUGUAAAAUGACGGUUUUCUCCUUUAUAAAUAUGCAUUUUCUAACACUCAACACUUGUAGUGAAUGGUGGUGGUGGUAGUUGAGCAUUUCAACUAACAAAUUAUCGCAACAUACGUGUUCAUCUGCCUUCAUAACUCUAUGUACUCCUGUGUUUUCCAUUAGCUAAAUGUUUAUAUUCAAAUUAACCUUAAACUUUUUCCUGUAGUUUAUAUAACCCUCAUUUGCAAACUCAUCAAGUUUGUCACCAUAAGUAAUUGUGCUAUCAAAUGCUCAUCACGAGGCUAUACACUUUUCUACUGAAGCUAAUGGCCUUUGGGGCAACCUUCUCUGCUACAAUUGUCGUGGCUACAAGCCAUGAGGCAACUACCUUCUUUGCAGUGUCAUCAUUUUAAGCUAAGUACAGUGCCAUGCUGCCAUUUAAGUGGGUUAUAUAAUUAAAUUCAAUGUCAUGCAUGCUUUAUAAAUUAUGAUCAGGUUUUUUAACUUGCGUUUUUUAAUAGCAAAUGAAGUUGUAAGCAUCUACCGCUUUAUGGUUCUGUUUAUUCUUUUCAGAUAGUCUGAUUUGGCAAUUAGUUAAUCCUUUGCAUGUGGUAAGAGCCUAUUGCCCAUCUUACAAGGGUGGCUUUAAACAUAGGUGACCCAGGUUGCUGUCUAGGGCCCCAUAUGUUAGAAUAGCCCAAUUGUGGUUGUCUCGUCUCUAUAUGUUAAGAAGAAUUUUGUUUUAGUAUUUUCUUGAUAUGGUCAAAUUAAUAGAUAUCUUAGAUUAUACUUACAAUAAGAAAGCUUAUUUUUCAGGCCACUUUUUUAUUAAUAAUUAUCCUAUUAUUAAGAUUUUUUACACAAAUUCAAUAUUUGAUAGCAUUAUUGCUAAAGAGCUAUAGUUAAUAAUGUUUUUCGCUAUUAGUUAUUUCAAGAAAAACCAUAACAUUUUUGUGAGUUUAAAAAAAUUAUUAUUUAACAUAUAAAAUUCCUUGCGCCUUUCUCUAUAAGGAAAAUUGUUAUGUUUAUUUGCUCAUUUUUAAGUAAAAUAAAAUAUUUUCUUCAAAUAAUAAUUUUGAAACAAGUAAAAACAAAAAUAUUUUCUUGGCUAUUUUUCUUUUUGAAAUUUCUUACUGCCUUGUUGAUUAUUAGUACUCAAGUUGUCAAAAAUUGAUUGCAUUUUAAGAUAUUUUAUGUUUCUUUAAUUGUUAAAACUGAAAGGCCUUGUAAAACAAUUUUUGCCCAAGGUCCCAAGUAAUUUAGAACUUACUCUGCGUAGCAUAAAGCUAGUAACGUUAUCAAUAAAUCAAAAUUGAGAUUGUAUAAGUCUUAUUGAUUUUGUUCAAUGCUCUGGGUGGCUGGGUUUCACAGUGUUGCUCAUAUCAAGCAUAUUUGCUACCUUGGCAAUAGCUCAAGUGGGCAAAAAGGAAAUUCAUCAGUACGCUAGCUACUAGUUUGCCUCCAAGUACCCCACUACUGUGAUCAAAUUAUGGGAGCAUUAACUGCUGGCUUCAUUGGACUCAUUAUCUAUUUGCUAUUGCUUCUCUAUUCAAUCUACACAAGAGUGCUUAAUCCCUUACUUGUUCAAAUGACUAGAUUCGUUGUCUCAUGUCCUUUUGGUCGCCUAGUUUGAGAAUUUGUUUCUUCUUUUUAUGAUGCUUCAUGUACGAUAAAAGUGUGUGAUUGGGAACUUGUAUUUUCAAGAGCAUUACAGAACAAAGGCAAACCAAGAAAAGAUAAAAACUAAUGACAUUGAUUAAAAUUCUGUGUGCUAAUUAAUCCUACAUGUUAUUCUUAGUGGUAACUACAUUCGGGUCUUGAACUUUGUAGGAGCUAACAUUAUGCAGUCUUUAUUUUGCAUCAUCAAAUGAUUAAUCUUAAUUGCUAUCUUUACUUUCAUUAUUUUCUUAUCAAAAUUUUUUUUUCUUCUCUUACUAAUUAGCUGCAUAAAAAUUAACAAACUAAUACAUUAUCAUUUUUAAGUCAUCAAUUAAGUAAGCAUUUUAGAUUAUUCAGCCAAAUAACAAAAAUAAAGAAAUAUCUAAAUUUCAUUUACAAAAACGUAUAUAAAUUAAAGCCAAACUAGCCAUCUCAAAUAAAUAAAAGAAUAUAUAUUUGCAUUUAAAAACAAUUGAUUUAAACCAUUUUGUGAUUUAAAAAAAAAUAGAAUGAAAUAAAACAAUUUAAAAUAGACGAAAGUAAAAAGCCAAUAUUUUUAUUUUCAAGUGACAAACUAAAAAUUCAAAUUACUGUGAGAGUGUGACUUGUGUUGUGCUGCCCAAUAAUUGUAACUAGCCAACAAAUUGUCGAUUUCCUUGUAUAAUUUUUUUUUUCCUUUUUGAAUGUGAUUUGCAAAUAGACCUUCACAGCAUCACCACAGCAUUCAUCUAAUUAAAGAAAGAUUUUUCUUUGUUUAGUAUAUGGGACAAAUAAGUGUCAAAAAGAAAAAGAAAAAAAUUUAUUAAUUGGGGGUAAACUUCAAUUCAUCCCCAUUUCAAUAAAAAUCUUCAAUUUACCCGCCAAAAGUUUGAAAAUCUUAAUUUACAUUAAUUUUGGUUUAGAAGAUGAACGUAAAUAGCGGGCACGUUGUUAGAGUGCAAUUUAUGCACUAGUUUUGCAUUGUUUACUUCUCUUAAUAUCGAUGUUUUGCACUUAAUAAUAUAAUUUACUUCUGUUUUACUUUUGUAGGUGCAAUUUUAUUAAUUGGCGAUAAAAUUGAGCUACAAGAUGAUGUUUAAGGAUGAUUGUUCUCUUGGAGAAAUUAUGAGCGUCAGAAGAACUUUGUUGAUAAGGCGUGGGCGCGUGCUGUCAACUACGGACUUGCAGUUUUUAGUUUAACGUGUUUUGUAUUUUUGGUUAUUUUUGUAAUUACGAAUUUAAUAUUUCAGAUAUUAGUAUUUUAUUUUAAAUAAAAUUCUAGAGGAGAAGAGAGAGAGAGUAUUUAAGGGAGGAAUCUAUUGUGAAAAAAGAGAUUUUGGAGAAAAGAAAGAAACCCUAGAUCUAAAUUUUUCUCUUCUCUCUAUGAAGAACUAAACCUAUUAUUCUGGUUGAAGGUUAAUGAAACUUUGAUUCAUCACUACUGUGAGAUCUUUCUUAUGCUUUAAUUGUUUUAUUACUUUUUGGGUAUUUAUUUAUUCUCUGAAUUAUUAUCAUGAUUAUGUUUGUUAAUUAGAUAAUUGGCCACUAUUUAAUUAUCAACUUAAUCUAUUGUCAAUUAAAGAAUUCAUCGUAUGAAGAUUUUAAUGUUUGUGACAAAUAACAUAGCAGAGAGUUGUGUUGUGAGAAUAAACAAUCUAAUUUAAAUGAACCAUCGUAUGUGUUUGUUGAUUAGAAUUUGGGUCUCUCUGGUUUUUCAGGUUGUCAAUUGAUUAAAUCCUAUUAUCGUAUCUAGGGUUGUCUAUUGAUUAGGGAAAUAACCAACGGUCGUACCUUAGUUAUCGACUAAUUAAGGAGAGAUUGACUAUUAGAGGGUCUCAGUAGCUAUAACCGGUCUAUUCAUAAAUAGUAAUAAUUUAUAUUUGAAUCAAUGAUCAGUAGUCGAAUCAAGCUGAGUUAAUUCCUUCAACCAAGGCUUUCUCUAAUUUGAAUUACAACUUUAAUUUGCAUUCUUGUUAUUUUAAUUUGAUUUUUAUUAUUGUCAACAAUUCCCUCAUUUUACGUUUUACAUUUUAAAAGGAUUUAAAUAAUUACCGAUCUUUGUGGACACGACCCUACUCAAUCACUAUACACAAUUUAUUUAGAGUAUGUAUUUAUUUUUGCUAGCUUCGACAACCAUCAAAUUUUGGCGCCGUUGCCGGGAUUGGUGUCAUUUAUUUAAUCCUUUUUACGUUUACUUGGUGUAUGGUUCGUUCUUCUCGUACAGGUACACUUUCGUUUGAUCCUGAAAUUGAGUAGAAAGCUCGCUAGCUGAGACAGCAAUCGAAGCAAGCUAAGCAACGAUCCUCGUCGCCUUUGCUUUCUUAAACAGAUACAGUGCCUGAUUUGGUUGAAUCAUCUAGCGAUUCAGAAGAACAAAUGAUGGAUAGAGCUGCACCUGUAGAAAGAACUCUUAGAGAGUUAGCUGAACUAGACUUGAAUCAGCAACCACUCUGCAUUCAAUAUGUAGACUUGGAGGUAAAUUUUGAAUUAAAGUAUGGUCUUAUUAAUUUAUUACCCAAGUUUCAUGGUUUUGCAGGUGAAGAUCCUCAUAAACAUCUCAAGGAGUUUCAUGUUGUAUGUUCAAGUAUGAGACCACAAGGCGUGACUGAAGAGCAGAUUAAGCUGCGUGGUUUUCCUUUCUCUUUAGAUGGAAUAGCUAAAGACUGGUUGUACUACUUGCCUCCUGGAUCGAUUACAACGUGGAAUGGUUUGAAGAAGCAGUUCCUUGAGAAGUACUUUCCUGCUUCAAGAGCUGUCAACAUCAGAAAAGAUAUUUGUGGGAUUAGACAACUUCUUGGGGAGACUUUGUAUGAGUAUUGGGAGCGAUUCAAACAAUUGUGUGCCAGCUGUCCUCAGCAUCAGAUUUCUGAUCAACUUCUUAUUCAAUAUUUUUACGAAGGAAUAUCAUUAAUGGAUAGGAGUAUGAUAGAUGCUUCUAGUGGAGGUGUGUUGGUGAACAGGACUCCUACUCAAGCAAUUGAGUUGAUCUCAAGUAUGGCUGCCAAUGCACAACAAUUUGGCAGCAGGCAAGAUGCCACUUCAAGAACGGUGAAUGAGGUAAAUAUUUCUUCUGUUGAACAACGUUUAGAUAAACUUACUUCUCUUGUGGAAAAGUUUGUUGUAGGUAAUGUGCAACAGGUAAAGACUUGUGGCAUUUGUUCCAAUAUGGGUCAUUCAACUGAUAUGUGUCCUACACUUCAAGAAGAACUCGUUGAACAAGCCAAUGCAGUUGGAGGAUUUCCAGGCAUGCCUUAGAGGAGGUAUGAUCCUUAUGCACAAACAUACAAUCCGGGAUGGAAGGAUCAUCCCAACUUCAGCUAUGGAGUUAGGCCGUCAGGAUUCCCACAACAGUAUCCACCAAGACAACCAGUACCUCCACAGUCAAACUCCAAGUCAGGUAUAUCUCUUGAAGAAAUUGUUAAAUCACUUGCGACUAACACUCAACAAUUUCAGCAGGCAACUACAACAAGCAUUCAGAAUUUAGAGAACUAAAUGAGUCAAUUGGCGACUACAGUGAGCCGUCUGGAGUCUCAAGUAUUAGGGAGGUUGCCUUUACAAUCUGAGGUGAAUCCAAAGCAAAACGUUAGUGCUGUCAUCCUUAGAAGUGGGAAGGAGUUGCAAGAGCCUAGUAAGAAAGUGACAAAGCAUGUAGAAGAUGAGCUUGAGAAGAAUGAAUUGAUGCCAAAAUCUCAAGAUGCGCAACCCACCAGAGCAAAACCCCUACCUAUUGUGAUACCUCCUCCUUUUCCAAGCCAGUUUGCAAAAUCUAAGAAGGAGGAACAAGAUAAAGAUAUCCUUGAGAAAUUUCGUAAGGUUGAGGUAGAUAUUCGUUUAUUAGAUGCUAUAAAACAAAUACCUCGAUAUGCUAAAGUCCUUAAGGAACUGUGCACCUCCAAGAGAAAAUUAAGAGGAGAUGAAAAAGUUCACAUGGGGGAGAAUGUUUAAGCAGUUCUCCAAAAGAAACUACCUCCUAAGUGUAAGGAUCCAGGUAUGUUUACUAUCCCUUGUAAAAUUGGUAGUGUUAGAGUUGAAAAGGCUAUGUUAGAUCUAGGAGCUUCUAUUAAUGUCAUGCCUCGUUCCAUUUAUUCAUCUUUGAAUGUUGGUCCAUUAAAAGAAACUGGCUUAAUAAUUCAACUAGCUGAUAGGUCUAAUGCAUAUCCUGAUGAGGUAUUAGAAGAUGUCUUAGUACAAGUUAAUGAGUUAGUUUUUCCUGCUUAUUUUUAUGUACUUGAUAUGGAAGAUGAUAACUCCUCUAAUUCUGUCCCAAUUUUGCUAGGAAGACAUUUUCUUAAGACUGCUAGGACUAAAAUGGAUGUACAUAAAAGGACUCUCAUUAUGGAGUUUGAUGGAGAAGUUAUAGAAUUCAAUAUGAAUGAUGCCAUGAAAUAUCCUAAUGAGGAACAUUCAGUAUUUUCUGUGGAUGUUAUUAUCCCUAUAGUGCAGGAAGUUUUUUACAAGGAAAAGACGAAGACAUUUCAUGACAUAAUGAUUUUGAGAAAGGAGUUCUCUAUUGGUCAAAAAGUUCUUCUUUUUCAUUCUAAGCUUAAACUUUUUCCGGGUAAAUUACGUUCUUACUGGGUUGGACCUUUUAUUGUUACUAAUGUUUUUCCUCAUGGUGCAGUUGAGAUUCGGAGUCCGACCUCUGACAAAGUUUUGAAGGUUAAUGGUUAUCGCUUAAAACCUUUUUAUGAAGGUUUUUCGGUGAAUAUUGUGGAGAAUGUGGCUCUCGAGAGUCCCAAUUAUGGAGAUUGAUGCAUAAAUGUGUCUAGCCAAAGACAUAAAACAAAUGCGCUUUUUUGGGAGGCAACCCAAAUGAUUUAUUUAUUUUGGUUUUUGUUAUAUCUUCUUUUAAUUUUGAUUCAGAUUUUUUAAAAAAAUAAUGUGUUUGCUUAUUUUGGCCAGAAGAAAACUUUCGAUAAGGCGUGCCCACGUCUUAACUAAUAAGUACUUCUGUGAUUUUUAAAGUAAAAUGGUUUUAAGGCGUGCCCAAGUGCUUAUUAAAAAAGUACUUCUGAAAUUUUUAGUGUCUCAAAGUGAUUCAUCACAAAAAAAAAAGAAAAUUUAAUUUUAUCUAUUUAUUUAUUUGAAAAAAAUGAAAUUAAAAAAAAAAGAUUUUCUUUUCUUCUUUCUUUUAUAUAUUUAUUUAUUUAUUUAUUUAAAAAAUGAAAAAAAAAAUCAAAAAUCACUGUUCACAAAAUCCCUAAUUCAAAACAAAUCAUUUUCUUUCCCGCAGCAACCAGCCGCUCUAGCCUUCACCACGCAACACAGCCAUACAGCAGCAGUAACAGUGCGCGAGCAACAGCAACUGUGAGCACAACACAGCCCACGCAGCAUCAGCAGCAGCUGUGCACGCAACCAGCUCUAUCCUGCACGCGCGCAGAUCCAGCCUUCACCGAGCAGCCACGCAGCACCAGCACCCCGCAUCCAGCGAGCAGCAGCUCGAGCACGCAGAUCCAGCCUUCACCCAGCAGCUCACAGAACCAGUGUUAGCCCAGCUCUCGCGCGCAACACAGCCCACGUAGCGCGCAGAUGCAGUAGCCCCAGCACGCAGAAUCAGCCCUAGCCCGCGCGCGCAACACAAUCAGCUCCAUCCAGCAUCCAUCAAGCAAGCUCCAACCGAACAUCAAUCAUCCGCAACCAGCCUACGCCCUGUAUUCCAGCCGCGUGAAUCAAAAUCCGUGAGUGCAAUUAUUGUAACAAUGCCGAAGAGGAAAGCAUCAACUUCCAAGUCAUCUAAAAAGACACCCGUCGCAAAGAAAUCCAAGAUUGCCGCUCCCACUACGGUUCGAUGGAACAAAGUUUCAGAUUCACGGCAAGCCGUGAGACAAAGAUCGAAACAUGGAAAAGGCAUGAGUGUUUUGCCACUUGCGGAAUCCAAUCUCGGAGGGUGCCUCGCAUUCGCGACUCAACAAGAGAAAGAAAAGUACAAAGAUAUUUCCAAGCGAAAAAUACUUCCAGUUAAGUAUAUUCAUUACCCGACUCUUGAAAAUUUGAAUGUUAAGGAUAAUUUUGAUUCUUUGAUAUAUAAGAUUGGUUUGCGUAAGUUUGUUGAUGUUGAUUGUUUGGGUUAUGUUGAGUUGAUUAGGGAGUUUUAUGCUACUUUUCAAUUUAUAUAUUGAAUGAUUUUACUUUGCAUACCUCGGAUGUUAUAAAGUUUAGGUUAAUGGGACGAAAAUUUUCACACUCUAUCACGGAUUUUAACCUAGCUUUAGGAUUCAUUGAUGAUGAUUAUUCUUCUAGUGAUGCAUAUUUAGGAACAACUUGUGACUUUAGCGAAAAUUUUGAGCCUUAUGGUCUUUGGCGUAAUUUAUCUGUUGAUCACAAUGCCUAUGACCCGAGUAAACUUACGUAAUCCUGUUUUGAAAUGUGUGCAUCGAUUCUUAGCAUAUAAUUUUUUAGGAAAGAAAGAUCACUCAGGAGUUUUCUCUAAAACUAAAUUUUAUUUUAUCUGGUGCAUGUUAAAUGACGUGAGGUCUAAUUUAGGUUUUUGGUUAGCAGAUCAAUUUCAAAGUGUGCUUAAACGGUAUAGGACUUUAUUUCUUAGUCCAUACAUUACUCUGUUAGCUAUAAACCUAUGUGUGCUUGAUCCUGACAAUAAUGAUUUGCAUCCUGCUUGGAAAAAGGAAUUUUUGGAUAUGUCUGUGUUUGAAAGAACAGGUGUGGUCGAAUUCAAGGAGGGGAGAUUUCAGUUUACUGAACCAGGACCCACUCAACCUCCAAAGAAGCUCUAUGCUAGGAGUGGUGCUACCUCUGAUGACGAGUUUGACGACGACACUGCUGCCCCGCCGACUAUUCCUUCUACAUCCGCAUCACCUCAGUUAGAGAAAAUGGAGCACAAGCUAAACAAGAUGGAGCAGAAUUUGGUUGCAUACUUCGAGAGUGUGGGAUUUAUCCCACCAUUUCCGCCAAGCCCAUAGACGUUAUGAGGAUCAAAACUCACAAUUCAGGGAAGUUUUUUGCCUUUAAUCUUUUAUCCUUACGCUUUAAUUUUUAUGUGAGCUUUGAUUAUCUUACAUUGGGGACAAUGUAAGUUCUUGGUGUGGGGGAGGGAGUUUUGCAUUAUUGAUGUCUGGAAGUAUUAUUUUCACUCUACUCAUCUAUUUUCACUAUACUCAUCCUUAAAUGAUUUUGAAGUUAGUAUACUUCAUAUAUUAUUAUUUUUCUUUUCUUUUCUUUCUCACUACUCUUUUCCCAUCUAUCUCAAAUUAUUUACAUCUAUUUUUAUUCUAUCAUACUCUUUCAUCACUCACAUUUUAUCUUUUACUUUUCAUAUUACUAUAUACAUCUUUCUCAAUUCUUAUCAUUUUUACCUUUCCUUUUAUAUAUCACUCAUACAUUCUUCUCAUUCUACACCACUAUUGAUGGUUGAUUCAUUUGAAGAGUAUACAUGAUUUGAUGGCAAAUUUAGCAACUUUGUGAGGAUUUGAGCCUAUGAGCAACCACUUUGCUCUAAUAUUUUUGUUAUGUGAAUAUCAAUCUUAGUUUGUUUAUUCUAGAACUUGCUUUAUUAUGCAUGUUGAAGCCACAUUACGGGAUUUUAUACAUUAAAAUGAUAAGGGCAAACCAUUUUCUAUUUUUCUAUUCUCACAUUUUUCUUUUUUUUUUUCUCUACCCGAAGACCUUUAUUUGCUAUCUUUGUUUGAGCCUUAACCAUUACCCAUCUAAUUCUCUCCGCCUACUUAACCAUUUUUCUUCUUUUUGAGCCUCAAUUUAAGGAGAUUUUUGGACUCAUUGUGUGGAUAUAUUUUGUAUAUAUUUUGUUGCUUUUUCUACCUUGUAUUAAAGUUUCUCAAUUAGAUCAACAAGUAUUAUGCUUGAAUUAAAUUCUGCAAGGUUCAUUUCUUUUGUUUGAUUCAAAAAAAAAAAAAAAAAGAAAAAGGAAAAAAAAAGAAAAAGAAAAAUCGAAAAAAAAGAAGAAAAAAAAUGUUUACAUUCUUGGUGACUUGAGUAGAAAUAAGCGUUUCGAUAUCAUAAGGUUCAUUCAAUGAGUUCAUUCUUCUCAUUUUGAUCUUUUUUUUUUCUUUCAUAAACCUUUCUUUUUCAUUUAACCCAUUUAACCCCGUUACAACCUUUUUAAGACCCUUAGAUUUUUGCAUUUAAUUCAUGUUUUGUGGAUUGAGAUGUGAUAUAUAAGCAAGCUUAUGGUAAUAGCAUUCUUUGAUUUGAUUUGAGUGCAUAAAUGACACCCUAAACACUUUGAGUGUUGGAGUGAAGUCAAUGAGAGGGCUAUUAAAUCUUGUUGCACUUGAAUUUUGAAUGGAUCUUCUUAGUGGUUGAAUGUUUUUAUUCUAGCUUAUGAGAUUCUAUGCUUUAAAAUCCUUAUCUCUCGAAUGUUGAUCGACUUAAAUUCUUGAGGUAUGCUUGCUUAAAAUUGUUUUUGGAUGAGUUGAGAUGAGAAUUGAGUGGAGAUUUGGGAUUCGUCUUGAGUUAUAUGCUUGAGGACAAGCAUCAUCUUGGUGUGGGGGAAUUUGUUAGAGUGCAAUUUAUGCACUAGUUUUGCAUUGUUUACUUCCCUUAAUAUCGAUGUUUUGCACUUAAUAAUAGUAAUUUACUUGUGUUUUACUUUUGUAGGUGCAAUUCUAUUGAUUGGUGAUAAAAUUGAGCUAUAAGAUGAUGUUUAAGGAUGAUUGUUCUCUUGGAAAAAUUAUGAGCGUCAGAAGAACUUUGUUGAUAAGGCGUGGGCGCGUGCUGUCAACUACGGACCUGCAGUUUUUAGUUUAACGUGUUUUGUAUUUUUGGUUAUUUUUGUAAUUACGAAUUUAAUAUUUCAGAUAUUAGUAUUUUAUUUUAAAUAGAAUUCUAGAGGAGAAGAGAGAGAGAGUAUUUAAGGGAGGAAUCUAUUGUGAAAAAAGAGAUUUUGGAGAAAAGAAAGAAACCCUAGAUCUAAAUUUUUCUCUUCUCUCUAUGAAGAACUAAACCUAUUAUUAUGGUUGAAGGUUAAUGAAGCUUUGAUUCAUCACUACUGUGAGAUCUUUCUUAUGCUUGAAUUGUUUUAUUACUUUUUGGGUAUUUGUUUAUUCUCUGAAUUAUUAUCAUGAUUAUGUUUGUUAAUUAGAUAAUUGGCCACUAUUUAAUUAUCAACUUAAUCUAUUGUCAAUUAAAGGAUUCAUCGUAUGAAGAUUUUAAUGUUUGUGACAAAUAACAUAGCAGAGAGUUGUGUUGUGAGAAUAAACAAUCUAAUUUAAAUGAACCAUCGUAUGUGUUUGUUGAUUAGGAUUUGCGUCUCUCUGGUUUUUCAGGCUAUCAAUUGAUUAAAUCCUAUGAUCGUAUCUAGGGUUGUCUAUUGAUUAGGGAAAUAAGCAACAGUCGUACCUUGGUUAUCGACUAGUUAAGGAGAGAUUGGCUAUUAGAGGGUCUCAGUAGCUAUAACCGGUCUAUUCAUAAGUAGUAAUAAUUUAUAUUUGAAUCAAUGAUCAGUAGUCGAAUCAAGCUGAGUUAAUUCCUUCAACCAGGGCUUUCUCCAAUUUGAAUUACAACUUUAAUUUGCAUUAUUGUUAUUUCAGAAAGUCAUGAGCCUCUAUUUAUAUGAAUGAAUAAUGAGAAUCUCGCUACAAUGACUUUAAUGGAAUUGAAAGAUUCCAUAAAUAAGGAAAAUAAAACAUGCUGCGUUUGUUUCCAUUAACUGUUGAUUUUAAUAUCGUGUCGCAUUAUGAAGGCAAUUUCAGUAUACAUUUAAUUAAUGUUAUCGUUUUUAGUGUGAUUAUUUUGUUUAGUUUAUUAUUAGAUUUUUUUCUCUUUAUAUCAAUUGUGAAGCUAUUUUCUAAUAUAAAGACCCUCUACAAGUCUACAUUGCCCUUCAUUUGGUUUCAUUGGGUGAUUCGUGCAUAAGAUUAUCUCAUUAAAUUGCAAGGAAAUUAUUAAAGAAAACAAAAAUCAAUUAUUUACACUUGGUCAAGUUGGCUUGUAUGAAUGAGGAGGUUGAGAUAAUGGUAGAUCAGCCCUCAUGACCCAUUAGUAAGAUUGCCCUUCAUUUGGUUUCAUUGGGUGAUUCGUGCAUAAGAUUAUCUCAUUAAAUUGCAAGGAAAUUAUUAAAGAAAACAAAAAUCAAUUAUUUACACUUGGUCAAGUUGGCUUGUAUGAAUGAGGAGGUUGAGAUAAUGAUAGAUCAGCCCUCAUGAUCCAUUAGUAAGAUUCAUUCAACAACUCUAAAUAGAUCAGCAAUGCUCCUUACCAUUUAUAGGAUUUGAUUUUAUCAUUCCAUUAGAUUGAUUCAAUUUUUUUCCCUAUUGUAUCAAAUGACUGAUAGAGCCGACCAAAAAACAAAAUAGGCUUGCACAUAUUGGGCAAUCAAAAGCCUAUACAUAUAGCUAAAAAAAUUGAAAACUUGUAGUGAAUGGUGGUGGCGAUAGUUGAGCAUUUCAACUAACAAAUUAUCGCAACAUACGUAUUCAUCUGCCUUCAUAACUCUAUGUACUCCUGUGUUUUCCAUUAGCUAAAUGUUUAUAUUCAAAUUAACCUUAAACGUUUUCCUUUAGUUUAUAUAACCCUCAUUUGCCAACUCAUCAAGUUUGUCACCAUAAGUAAUUGUGCUAUCAAAUGCUCAUCACGAGGCUAUACACUUUUCUACUGAAGCUAAUGGCCUUUGGGGCAACACCUUCUCUGCUACAAUUGUCGUGGCUACAAGCCAUGAGGCAGCUACCUUCGUUGCAAUGUCAUCAUUUUAAGCUAAGUACAAUGCCAUGGUGCCAUUUAAGUGAGUUAUAUAAUUAAAUUCAAUGUCAUGCAUGCUUUAUAAAUUAGGAUCAGGUUUUUAACUUGCGUUUUUUAAUAGCAAAUGAAGUUGUAAGCAUCUACGGCUUUAUGGUUCUGUUUAUUCAUUUCAGAUAGUAUAAUUUGGCAAUUAGUUAAUCCUUUGUAUGUGGUAAGAGCCUAUUGCCCAUUUUACAGGGGUGGCUUUAAACAUAGGUGAACCAGGUUGCUGUCUAGGGCCCCAUAUGUUAGAAUAGCCCAAUUGUGGUUGUCUCGUCUCCAUAUGUUAAGAAGAAUUUUUUUUUUGUAUUUUCUUGAUAUGGUCAAAUUAAUAGAUAUCUUAGAUUAUACUUACAAUAGGAAAUCUUAUUUUUUAGGCCACUUUUUAAUUAAUAAUUAUCCUAUUAUUAAGAAUUUUUACACAAAUUCAAUAUUUGAUAGCAUUAUUGCUAAAGAGCUAUAGUUAAUAAUGUUUUUCGUUAUUAGUUAUUUCAAGAAAAACGAUAACAUUUUUGUGAGUUUAAAAAAUUUUAUUAUUUGACAUAUAAAAUUCCUUGUGCCUUUCUUUAUAAGGAAAAUUAUUAUGUUUAUUUGCUCAUUUUUUAAGUAAAAGAAAAUAUUUUCUUCAAAUAAUAAUUUUGAAACAAGUAAAAACAAAAAUAUUUUCUUGACUAUUUUUUUUUUGAAAUUUCUUACUGCCUUGUUGAUUAUUAGUACUCAAGUUGUCAAAAAUUGAUUGCAUUUUAAGAUAUUUUAUGUUUCUUUAAUUGUUAAAACUGAAAGGCCUUGUAAAAAAUUUUUUGCCCAAGGCCCCAAGUAAUUUAGAACCUACUCUGCGUAGCAUAAAGCUAGUAACGUUAUUAAUAAAUCAAAAUUGAGAUUGUAUAAGUCUUAUUGAUUUUGUUGAAUGCUCUGGGUGGCUCGGUUUUCACAGUGUUGCUCACAUCGAGCAUAUUUGCUACAUUGGCAAUAGCUCAAGUGGGCAAAAAGGAAAUUCAUCAGUAUGCUAGCUACUAGUUUGCCUCCAAGUCCCCCACUGCUGUGAUCAAAUUAUGGGAGCAUUAACUGCUGGCUUCAUUGGACUCAUUAUCUAUUUGCUAUUGCUUCUCUAUUCAAUCUACACAAGAGUGCUUAAUCCCUUACUUGUUCAAAUGACUAGAUUCAUUGUCUCAUGUUCUUUUGGUCGCCUAGUUUGAGAAUUUGUUUCUUCUUUUUAUGAUGCUUUCUAUACGAUAAAAGUGUGUGAUUGGGAACUUGUAUUUUCAAGAGCAUUAUAGAACAAAGACAAACCAAGAAAAGAUAAAAACUAAUGACAUUGAUUAAAAUUCAGUGUGCUAAUUAAUCCUACAUGUUAUUCUUAGUGGUAACUACAUUCGAGUCUUGAACUUUGUAGGAGCUAACAUCAUGCAGUCUUUACUUUGCAUCAUCAAAUGAUUAAUCUUAAUUGAUAUCUUUAAUUUCAUUAUUUUCUUAUCAAAUUUUUUUUUCUUAUCUUACUAAUUAGCUGCAUAAAAAUUAACAAACUAAUACAUUAUCAUUUUUAAGUCAUCAAUUAAGUAAGAAUUUUAGAUUAUUCAGCCAAAUAACAAAAAUAAAGAAAUAUCUAAAUUUCAGUUACAAAAACGUAUAUUAAAUUAAAGCCAAACUAGCCAUCUCAAAUAAAUAAAAGAAUAUAUAUUUGCAUUUAAAAAAAAAUUGAUUUAAACCAUUUUUUGAUUUAAAAAAAAAUUGAAAUGAAAUAAAACAAUUUAAAAUAGAAGAAAGUAAAAAGCCAAUAUUUUUAUUUUCAUGUGACAAACUAAAAAUUAUAAUUACUGUGACAGUGUGACUUGUGUUGUGCUGCCCAAUAAUUAUAACUAGCCAACAAAUUGUCGAUUUCCUUGUAUAAUUUUUUUUUUCCUUUUUGAAUUUGAUUUGCAAAUAGACCUUCACAGCAUCACCACAAUAUUCAUCUAAUUAAAGAAAUAUUUUUGUUUGUUUAGUAUAUGGGACAAAUAAGUGUCAAAAAGAAAAAGAAAAAAAAAUUUAUUAAUUGGGGGUAAACUUCAAUUCAUCCCCAUCUCAAUAAAAAUCUUCAAUUUACCCUCCAAAAGUUUGAAAAUCUUAAUUUACAUUAGUUUUGGUUUAGAAGAUGAACGUAAAUAGCGGGCACGUUCAUAAAUUUUCUAUUCAUUUUCUUACCAGUAAAUGAGGGUACGUUGAUGUUUUCACAUUUUUUAGGGGUAAAUUAAAGAUUCACGGGGCGUAAAUUGAAGUUUACCCUACAAAUAAAUUCAAACGGUUUUGUAAUAUAAGAUUUCGAUAAAACAUAAAAGUUCAAUUUUUAUUUUGGUUCGGAUGCAAUUAGCCUCACCCUAAAAGAAAAUUGACUUAAAAUUCAAAUAUCACAAAUGUACUAAGAUAGUAAUAAUGAUCGCUUGAUCAUUAUUAGUAUUUCAAUAGAUUGCCUUCUCGUAGAUUGAUUCAACGAUAUGUAUACAACAAAACAAAGCCAAUUCACACACCAAAAACACAUGACAUAACAUUACGUACUCAUAAUGAAUUAAUUUCUUAUUUUAUUAAAACACAUUUUCAAUUUCACUGCAAUUGAUUAUUGUUGCAAAAACACUCAUAAAAGAUAAACGAAAUAACUGAUUAUCAAAAUCAUUUGCAUCCCCCCGGGGGACAGUAGUAGAUAUAGUUUGCAAGAGCUUUCUUUAACUUCUCGAUCAAACACUCUUCCCUUGUAAGCCCUGAGCAAUCAACAAUUUCAGGUGAUGCUGCGGGAUUAUUAGAAAAUGAAGCAUCUGGGUGAUAUCCUUGGCUAAAACGACUGGCUGUAAUAAGUGUGCUUUUAGUGUUUGCCACUACAAGCAAAGCCAAGAUGAUGAAACUAAGACUCUUCGACAUUUUCUAUUUUUUAAGUGAAUUGUAUGCAACUUAAUAAGAAUUAAAGGAGAUGUGUGAAAUUCAGAAAGUCAUGAGCCUCUAUUUAUAUGAAUGAAUAUUG
rnacentral:lncRNA from 1 species